UACGGAGGGAGCUAGCGUUGUUCGGAAUUACUGGGCGUAACGCGCGCGUAGGCGGCUUUGUAAGUUAGAGGUGAAAGCCCGGGGCUCAACCCCGGAACUGCCUUUAAGACUGCAUCGCUUGAAUCCGGGAGAGGUGAGUGGAAUUCCGAGUGUAGAGGUGAAAUUCGUAGAUAUUCGGAAGAACACCAGUGGCGAAGGCGGCUCACUGGACCGGCAUUGACGCUGAUGUGCGAAAGCGUGGGGAGCAAACAGG
rnacentral:rRNA from 1 species